UUAUUUCUUAAAUAUUAUAAUAUAUUAGAAAGCCAUUAAUAGAACAGAAACACAAGUUGCUUGGCGACUUUUAGUUGCACGAGAUAUACUUUUUUCUUUCGUAAAUUCGUUUCCUUUGAUUAUCCUGUACAAUGCUGCAUUACGAAAGAGUACGAAAAAGACUGAUACAAGUGGAUUUUGAAAGAUCGCCAACAUACAAGGCGGAAUUAUAAGUUUGUCGUGCGUUACACUUUUAUUAGAUUGCAAUGUACGUGAGAGGGAUUUGUGGCGCAUCGAACGGACGCUUGGUCGCGAGUGUAAUACAGGAAGACAUUUCGUGUACGAGGACAAGAAAAAAUAACCGUAAUUGAGCGUUAUAAUUGAAUGCGGACGGGCAACCGAUAUUUUUCUACAAUCCUGAAAAUUAUACGGAGACGUUCUUCGGCAAUCUCAUUGCUAAAUAUCGAUGCGACCUUGUGGAUUUUCAAACUACAGGAAAUUAUCAAUUCAACGAAGAUCUUCAUGUAAUUGAAGAGUUCCUUUUUGUUGCAGAUUAAGUAAUUCUUGGUAAAAGAUACUGACGUAAAAUAUCAUAGAAGAAAUUUCACACGGUCCGCGUGUACUAAUUCAAGAGAAUAGAAAGAAAGUCUUGUUUCUCUCGGCGGCCCUUAAAAACUUGGCGUUCUAAAGGCACGCCUAAGCGCGCCGUUGCGUAAAUCAUAGCUUUUCGCGUGUAUAAAAUCGCCGGGCGAGCGAAACAAUGCCGCGCACGCUUAAGAGAACUUUUCUAGGCACGCACAAUGUGCGCCAGAUCGUACCGGUGAGAUACUGCGUGCGGAGAAUACCGGGAGGAUGCCGCUCUAAAACGUGCCCGAACGCGCUCCGUUACGGAACCCCGAGAGAAACGGCCUUUUUCCGCUGCUUGAUCUCGAUCGUAGUACGAAACGCGCAUUGCGUAUGCAUUUCUUCCAGUCGUAGGAGUCGAGCAGCUCCCUUGGGUGAAGAAUGCUGGUGGAACUUUUUCAGCCGCUCGCCGGAAUUUUAAAUUUUUCCUUCGUUGAGCUUCGAAUAGGGUGUUCCCUGGUCAAAGGGGAAGAGAACGAAAGAGAGAGAGAGAAAGAGGCGGUGAAGCUGGAACACCCUGUGCAACAUUGUGGAGGGCUCGACGGAAGACGGAAGGCUAGUCGGCGACGGAAAUGCGAUGCUUCCUGGAGCUUCCACCCAGAUGUUUAUAUUUAUUUUCAUCGCACACCCACGUGGUGAACGACGAUCCCGAUUUAUGUUAAAAUCGAUCGAUUUGUACGCAAACGACUUUCAUGUCACUAUAAAGAUGAUAAUGACAAUUCAACAACAGAUCCUGUUUGAGAAUCUAAUCUCCGAGUUGACGAACGGAUCUGUGAUCGUGAGAGUAACCCGGUGGCAAUGGUCAAUAAAAGUGCCAAAACCUCAUGCCACCCGAGUAACUUUGUCUGCCAAUUUAAUUCGGAAACCAGUAGAACCGGCUUUCGUGAGAAUUUGUUCUUCGCGCUCGGGAAAAAAGAAGAAACUGCGAGAAAAACGAGGGAGAGAGGGAGAGAGAGAGAGAGAAAGCGACAAAGACGUAAAUUUACAUAUGAUCUAAGCAAACCAAAAAAGCUUUAACAAUCUUGCUUUUUUUCGAAAGCAUAGCGUUCGGCUGCGCCGAGUUCUACGGCGCGAAAAGCGAGUCUUUAUUGUUUACAAUAGAUUACACCAAGUCGGAUUAUUUGCGGUAAUUAUGAUUAAUCCGAAUUUGCGAAUCGAGCGAGCUCGCAUCCCGAAACCGACGAGGGUCGGAUAGGACUCGAUUCGUUACAUUUUACUUAUUCGCGCGUCUUCGUUGGAGCCCCGUGGUUUGUGCAUUCUAUGUGUACAUCGCAUUACGUUGCGCAUUAGAUAUCGCAGCAGAUUAUCGCGCGCGAUAUCGCGAUAUGUACGAUGGCGCAGAUCUGAGGUUGGCAACGAGAACGAUGUCUUUUUCUUCGGGCUGACAUGGCACGCGGGAUAUUCCGUCAUAUUUACGAGCGCUCGGGGAAUGAAUCCCCUUUUCGGGACUCGCAUAAACUAUGAAAACGUAUUCGCGCGGUCACGAAUCGAAAGAUUCUAAAACUGGCGCCAGAUUAUGCGCGAUUUGUGGCGAUUCUUGCUCUUUGAUUUCGUAAAAAAAAAAGAAAGUUGCUGGCAUUGAUACGAAUGAUAAACGAUGAAUGCGAACAUGCCCAUUCACGCUACUUGCGAAUCUCAUACGAAUAACGAACAGUAAAUCUCAAACCUCGAAUCGCGCAUAAUCUAGCUCUAGCUGGUAAUUUAAUCACACUUUUCCAGUAUUUCGUCAGAGACAACGUAAAGACUCGCUAUUUUUAGAAUCUAGUUAAUAAAACA